rnacentral:rRNA from 1 species
GACGAACGCUGGCGGCGUGCUCAACACAUGCAAGUCGAACGGAAAGGCCCUGCUUUUGUGGGGUGCUCGAGUGGCGAACGGGUGAGUAACACGUGAGUAACCUGCCCUUGACUUUGGGAUAACUUCAGGAAACUGGGGCUAAUACCGGAUAGGAGCUCCUGCUGCAUGGUGGGGGUUGGAAAGUUUCGGCGGUUGGGGAUGGACUCGCGGCUUAUCAGCUUGUUGGUGGGGUAGUGGCUUACCAAGGCUUUGACGGGUAGCCGGCCUGAGAGGGUGACCGGCCACAUUGGGACUGAGAUACGGCCCAGACUCCUACGGGAGGCAGCAGUGGGGAAUAUUGCACAAUGGGCGGAAGCCUGAUGCAGCAACGCCGCGUGCGGGAUGACGGCCUUCGGGUUGUAAACCGCUUUCGCCUGUGACGAGGCGUGAGUGACGGUAAUGGGUAAAGAAGCACCGGCUAACUACGUG